GGAGAGAUGGCUCAGCGGUUAAGAGCACUGCUGUUCUUCCAGAGGACCUGGGUUUAAUUCCCAGCACCCCCA
rfam:Mesocricetus auratus contig009852, whole genome shotgun sequence.